GCAGGGAACGUAGCCCCGGCCACUGCUCAUGCGCUGGGUCUCAGAGGUCCCAGGCCCGCGGGACGCAGGGAACGCAGCCCCGGCCACUGCUCAUGCGCUGGGUCUCAGAGGUCCCAGGCCCGUGGGACGCAGGGCAGCUGGACUUCUCUUGGAAAUGGAGACUCUUAGGCUCUUCCUGAUUGGACACAGUUAGGGAAGUUCAAAAAAUCUAACUGUGCUUGACUGAGGAUCGAGGCCUGAGAGUCCACCAGGGCAGUAGCUGACUUCUAUGUGACCAUGGAGCACUUGGGACCACCGAGGAAGCGGAAUUUCAUAUCUACUUGUGCCUAAGUUUAAGGAAGACACCACAUUUGGUUGUUGGAGGCACUGAAGCAUGCUGGGAACAAAGGAGGCUAGUGAGUCUACUUCCACCAACUUGUAACUUUCAUAAAACCUCAUUAUAAAUUAAAGCAA